AUUGAACGCUGGCGGCAGGCCUAACACAUGCAAGUCGAGCGGUAGCACAGAGAGCUUGCUCUCGGGUGACGAGCGGCGGACGGGUGAGUAAUGUCUGGGAAACUGCCUGAUGGAGGGGGAUAACUACUGGAAACGGUAGCUAAUACCGCAUAAUGUCGCAAGACCAAAGUGGGGGACCUUCGGGCCUCAUGCCAUCAGAUGUGCCCAGAUGGGAUUAGCUAGUAGGUGGGGUAANGGCUCACCUAGGCGACGAUCCCUAGCUGGUCUGAGAGGAUGACCAGCCACACUGGAACUGAGACACGGUCCAGACUCCUACGGGAGGCAGCAGUGGGGAAUAUUGCACAAUGGGCGCAAGCCUGAUGCAGCCAUGCCGCGUGUGUGAAGAAGGCCUUCGGGUUGUAAAGCACUUUCAGCGGGGAGGAAGGCGNUNAGGUUAAUAACCUNNNCGAUUGACGUUACCCGCAGAAGAAGCACCGGCUAACUCCGUGCCAGCAGCCGCGGUAAUACGGAGGGUGCAAGCGUUAAUCGGAAUUACUGGGCGUAAAGCGCACGCAGGCGGUCUGUCAAGUCGGAUGUGAAAUCCCCGGGCUCAACCUGGGAACUGCAUUCGAAACUGGCAGGCUAGAGUCUUGUAGAGGGGGGUAGAAUUCCAGGUGUAGCGGUGAAAUGCGUAGAGAUCUGGAGGAAUACCGGUGGCGAAGGCGGCCCCCUGGACAAAGACUGACGCUCAGGUGCGAAAGCGUGGGGAGCAAACAGGAUUAGAUACCCUGGUAGUCCACGCCGUAAACGAUGUCGAUUUGGAGGUUGUGCCCUUGAGGCGUGGCUUCCGGAGCUAACGCGUUAAAUCGACCGCCUGGGGAGUACGGCCGCAAGGUUAAAACUCAAAUGAAUUGACGGGGGCCCGCACAAGCGGUGGAGCAUGUGGUUUAAUUCGAUGCAACGCGAAGAACCUUACCUGGUCUUGACAUCCACAGAACUUNCCAGAGAUGNNUUGGUGCCUUCGGGAACUGUGAGACAGGUGCUGCAUGGCUGUCGUCAGCUCGUGUUGUGAAAUGUUGGGUUAAGUCCCGCAACGAGCGCAACCCUUAUCCUUUGUUGCCAGCGGUNNGGCCGGGAACUCAAAGGAGACUGCCAGUGAUAAACUGGAGGAAGGUGGGGAUGACGUCAAGUCAUCAUGGCCCUUACGACCAGGGCUACACACGUGCUACAAUGGCAUAUACAAAGAGAAGCGACCUCGCGAGAGCAAGCGGACCUCAUAAAGUAUGUCGUAGUCCGGAUUGGAGUCUGCAACUCGACUCCAUGAAGUCGGAAUCGCUAGUAAUCGUAGAUCAGAAUGCUACGGUGAAUACGUUCCCGGGCCUUGUACACACCGCCCGUCACACCAUGGGAGUGGGUUGCAAAAGAAGUAGGUAGCUUAACCUUCGGGAGGGCGCUUACCACUUUGUGAUUCAUGACUGGGGUGAAG
rnacentral:rRNA from 1 species